AACGUAGGUUCCGAGCGUUAUCCGGAUUUACUGGGCGUAAAGCGCGUUCAGGCGGUUUGGCAAGUCGGGCAUGAAAUCUCUCGGCUCAACCGGGAGAGGUUGUCCGAUACUGUUAGACUGGAGGGCAGUAGAGGGUGGUGGAAUUCCGGGUGUAGUGGUGAAAUGCGUAGAGAUCCGGAGGAACACCAGUGGCGAAAGCGGCCACCUGGACUGCACCUGACGCUGAAACGCGAAAGCUAGGGGAGCGAACAGG
rnacentral:rRNA from 1 species